ACACUGCAGACGAGUCCCAAACAGGAUGAAACAGCUGUCCAGUAC
rnacentral:hammerhead_ribozyme from 1 species